rnacentral:rRNA from 1 species
CACGUAUGGAGCAAGCGUUAUCCGGAUUUACUGGGUGUAAAGGGUGCGCAGGUGGUCUGGUAAGUCAGAAGUGAAAACCCGGGGCUCAACCCCGUGGAUUGCUUUUGAAACUAUUAGACUAGAGUCCAGGAGAGGUAAGCGGAAUUCCUAGUGUAGCGGUGAAAUGCGUAGAUAUUAGGAGGAACACCAGUGGCGAAGGCGGCUUACUGGACUGGUACUGACACUGAGGCACGAAAGCGUGGGGAGCAAACAGG